UGGCUCAGUUGGUAGAGCAUGGUGUUUGCAACGCCAGGGUUGCGGAUUCGAUUCCCAC
rnacentral:tRNA from 1 species